rnacentral:rRNA from 1 species
AAUGAACGCUGGCGGCAUGCCUAACACAUGCAAGUCGAACGAAGGCUUCGGCCUUAGUGGCGCACGGGUGCGUAACGCGUGGGAAUCUGCCCUCAGGUUCGGAAUAACAGCGAGAAAUUGCUGCUAAUACCGGAUGAUAUCGCGAGAUCAAAGAUUUAUCGCCUGAGGAUGAGCCCGCGUAGGAUUAGCUAGUUGGUGUGGUAAAGGCGCACCAAGGCGACGAUCCUUAGCUGGUCUGAGAGGAUGAUCAGCCACACUGGGACUGAGACACGGCCCAGACUCCGACGGAGGGCAGCAGUGGGGAAUAUUGGACAAUGGGGGAAAGCCUGAUCCAGCAAUGCCGCGAGAGUGAUGAAGGCCUUAGGGUUGUAAAGCUCUUUUACCCGGGAUGAUAAUGACAGUACCGGGAGAAUAAGCUCCGGCUAACUCCGUGCCAGCCGCCGCCGUAA